rnacentral:rRNA from 1 species
ACUCAAAUGAAUUGACGGGGGCCCGCACAAGCAGUGGAGCAUGUGGUUUAAUUCGAAGCAACGCGCAGAACCUUACCAGCCCUUGACAUGCGGAUUAAGAGUUUGAGAGAUCAGACUUGUCGGUUCGGCCGGAUCCUGCACAGGUGCUGCAUGGCUGUCGUCAGCUCGUGUCGUGAGAUGUUGGGUUAAGUCCCGCAACGAGCGCAACCCUCAUCUUCAGUUGCCAGCAGGUUAAGCUGGGCACUUUGAAGAAACUGCCGAUGAUAAAUCGGAGGAAGGCGAGGAUGACGUCAAGUCCUCAUGGCCCUUAUGGGCUGGGCUACACACGUGCUACAAUGGUGGUGACAAUUAGAUGCAAUAGGGUGACCUGGAGCAAAUCUUUAAAAACCACCUCAGUUCGGAUUGUACUCUGCAACUCGAGUACAUGAAGUUGGAAUUGCUAGUAAUCGUAGAUCAGCAUGCUACGGUGAAUACGUUCCCGGGCCUUGUACACACCGCCCGU